rnacentral:rRNA from 1 species
AUUGAACGCUGGCGGCAGGCCUAACACAUGCAAGUCGAGCGGAUGAAGGGAGUUUGCUCCUGGAUUCAGCGGCGGACGGGUGAGUAAUGCCUAGGAAUCUGCCUGGAAGUGGGGGAUAACGUCCGGAAACGGGCGCUAAUACCGCAUACGUCCUGAGGGAGAAAGUGGGGGAUCUUCGGACCUCAUGCUAUCAGAUGAGCCUAGGUCGGAUUAGCUAGUUGGUGGGGUAAAGGCCUACCAAGGCGACGAUCCGUAACUGGUCUGAGAGGAUGAUCAGUCACACUGGAACUGAGACAUGGUCCAGACUCCUACGGGAGGCAGCAGUGGGGAAUAUUGGACAAUGGGCGAAAGCCUGAUCCAGCCAUGCCGCGUGUGUGAAGAAGGUCUUCGGAUUGUAAAGCACCUUAAGUUGGGAGGAAGGGCAGUAAGUUAAUACCUUGCUGUUUUGACGUUACCAACAGAAUAAGCACCGGCUAACUUCGUG